rnacentral:rRNA from 1 species
AAAUUGAAGAGUUUGAUCAUGGCUCAGAUUGAACGCUGGCGGCAGGCCUAACACAUGCAAGUCGAGCGGUAGCACAGAGAGCUUGCUCUCGGGUGACGAGCGGCGGACGGGUGAGUAAUGUCUGGGAAACUGCCUGAUGGAGGGGGAUAACUACUGGAAACGGUAGCUAAUACCGCAUAAUGUCGCAAGACCAAAGUGGGGGACCUUCGGGCCUCAUGCCAUCAGAUGUGCCCAGAUGGGAUUAGCUAGUAGGUGGGGUAACGGCUCACCUAGGCGACGAUCCCUAGCUGGUCUGAGAGGAUGACCAGCCACACUGGAACUGAGACACGGUCCAGACUCCUACGGGAGGCAGCAGUGGGGAAUAUUGCACAAUGGGCGCAAGCCUGAUGCAGCCAUGCCGCGUGUGUGAAGAAGGCCUUCGGGUUGUAAAGCACUUUCAGCGGGGAGGAAGGCGGUGAGGUUAAUAACCUCAUCGAUUGACGUUACCCGCAGAAGAAGCACCGGCUAACUCCGUGCCAGCAGCCGCGGUAAUACGGAGGGUGCAAGCGUUAAUCGGAAUUACUGGGCGUAAAGCGCACGCAGGCGGUCUGUCAAGUCGGAUGUGAAAUCCCCGGGCUCAACCUGGGAACUGCAUUCGAAACUGGCAGGCUAGAGUCUUGUAGAGGGGGGUAGAAUUCCAGGUGUAGCGGUGAAAUGCGUAGAGAUCUGGAGGAAUACCGGUGGCGAAGGCGGCCCCCUGGACAAAGACUGACGCUCAGGUGCGAAAGCGUGGGGAGCAAACAGGAUUAGAUACCCUGGUAGUCCACGCCGUAAACGAUGUCGAUUUGGAGGUUGUGCCCUUGAGGCGUGGCUUCCGGAGCUAACGCGUUAAAUCGACCGCCUGGGGAGUACGGCCGCAAGGUUAAAACUCAAAUGAAUUGACGGGGGCCCGCACAAGCGGUGGAGCAUGUGGUUUAAUUCGAUGCAACGCGAAGAACCUUACCUGGUCUUGACAUCCACAGAACUUUCCAGAGAUGGAUUGGUGCCUUCGGGAACUGUGAGACAGGUGCUGCAUGGCUGUCGUCAGCUCGUGUUGUGAAAUGUUGGGUUAAGUCCCGCAACGAGCGCAACCCUUAUCCUUUGUUGCCAGCGGUUCGGCCGGGAACUCAAAGGAGACUGCCAGUGAUAAACUGGAGGAAGGUGGGGAUGACGUCAAGUCAUCAUGGCCCUUACGACCAGGGCUACACACGUGCUACAAUGGCAUAUACAAAGAGAAGCGACCUCGCGAGAGCAAGCGGACCUCAUAAAGUAUGUCGUAGUCCGGAUUGGAGUCUGCAACUCGACUCCAUGAAGUCGGAAUCGCUAGUAAUCGUAGAUCAGAAUGCUACGGUGAAUACGUUCCCGGGCCUUGUACACACCGCCCGUCACACCAUGGGAGUGGGUUGCAAAAAGAAGUAGGUAGCUUAACCUUCGGGAGGGCGCUUACCACUUUGUGAUUCAUGACUGGGGUGAAGUCGUAACAAGGUAACCGUAGGGGAACCUGCGGUUGGAUCACCUCCUUACCUUAAAGAA